GCCAGCUCCCCACCCUUGCCUCUGGGCUCCAGUUCCUGGAAGGUAACUCGUUUCCUUUGGCCAUGGCCUGGGAACAGGCUUCCAGGCCCUUCCCUCCCCCGCAGCCUGGCCUGGCCAUGCUGGGUUCCUGGAGUUCAGCUUACAGGGACCAGGUGGCCAGUUGGAAGGGCAGACAGGCCACCUAGCACCAGAUUCCAGGACCCCGAGAGAACCGGGGAACCAGAGUGCCUGGGGAUUUGCAGACGGACUGUGAACUGGGCUGCACUUAUCUUUCCCCCUCCCAGGCAAAAGCCAUUUCCUCCCACGAAGCAGGAAAAAUCUCAGCCAGCCUCUGGGAUUUCACUGAAAACCCAGCACCACAAACCUCAAAUAUGGAGCCCUCCUGUUUUUCUAAUAAAUUUUUUUAUCCAAGACGGCAGCUUCUGACUCUCCUCUCUCUUCAAGACUCCCAGUGCCCCCAACCAGCCUGAAGCCUCAACCGCUGAUCUUCCAUCUAAAAAUAAAACACAUCUGCACAAUAAAAUGUCAUUUAUCAAGAAAAGAGCACAAAGGACUGGGUGCUGUGGCUCGCGCCUGUAAUCCCAGCACUUUGGGAGGCUGAGGCUGGAGGAUCUCUUGAGGCCAAGAGUUUGAGACCAGCCUGGGCAACAUGGUGAAAGCCCAUCUCUACUAAAACUACAAAAAAAUUAGCCAGGCAUGGUAGUGCAAGCCUGUGAUCCCGGCUACUUAGGAGGCUGGGGCAGGAGGAUGGCUUGAGCCCAGGAGGAUCACUUGAGCCCAGGAGGUCAAGCACAGAGAAGUGUUAUGGAGUAGUGUUCAAGAGUGUGAGUUCUGCUGCCCGAUUGCCCACCUUUAAGCAGCCCUGCCUCUUACCAGCUGUGUGACUUUGCAGAAGGUGAUUGCCCAUUGCCCUCUGUGUCUGCUUCCUUAUUUGUAAGAUGGGGAUGAGAAUAUAACAGCAGCUACCUCAAAGGCUUUUCAUGCAAAUGAAGUAUUUGCAAAGUGCUUGGAACAGGGUCAGGCACAUAGUAAGCAUCAGAUACAUUUUUGUUAAAUAAUAAAAUUUGUUUCCUUAGCUUCUUACCAGGAAAUCUGCAUUUGCUGUGUGUGCACUUGUCCUUCUCUCCUGCCCCUUGGAGGAAGUUUCUGUGCUUCCUAUUGAAAGCCAGUGCUGUGGCCGGGCACGGUGGCUGACGCCUGUGAUCCCAGUACUUUGGGAGGCCGAGGCGGGUGGAUCACUUGAGGCUGGGAGUUCGAGACCAGCCUGGCCAACGUGGUGAAAACUUGUCUCUACUAAAAAUACAAAAACUAACGGGGCGUGGUGGCGGGCGCCUGUAAUUCCAGCUACUUGGGAGGCUGAGGCAAGAGAAUCGCUUGAACCAGGGAGGCCGAGGUUGUGGUGAGCCAAGAUCGGGACAUUGCACUCCACCCUGGGCAACAAGAGUGAAACUCCGUCUCAAAAACAAAAAAGAAAAUAAAACAAAAAA
rnacentral:lncRNA from 1 species